CACCCUUCAAGUUUUCCAAGCUAGGAGCUGGAACUGGCCGUUUUGGAGGACCCAGGGAAGCCAAGACCGUCUGCAGCCGAGUUGUCAUACAAAGUGUGGGACACUUUCUGAACAACUUGGACUCCAUGUUCAGCUGCCACCCUCACCACCUCAGCAUCACGGCGCCUUGCAUACGGUUCUGUGUCGACUUCAAAUGUGAGCAGGGUGACCUUCCACUUCUUAAAUAGUUCUGGGAAUGCCUCUGCAGGACUGCCACGAACUACAAACAGCCUGAGGAGACACCACAACCUUUGAUUGCUCAGAAACCAAGAAAGCGCCAAAGACUAGCAGGCGCCUCUUCUGCCAUCAGCCUACGGGGAGGCAGUUAUGCACGAUCCAGCAUGUGCAGGC